GGCUCAGGAUGAACGCGGGCGGCGUGCCUAAUACAUGCAAGUCGAACGAGGUGCUUUGUAGCAAUACGAGGUAUCCUAGUGGCGAACGGGUGAGUAACGCGUUGGUGACCUACCCCAAAGUGUGGGAUAACAGUCCGAAAGGAUUGCUAAUACCGCAUGUGGUCUUCGGAUUUAGAAACUGAUGACUAAAGGAGCAAUUCGCUUUGGGAGGGACCUGCGUCCCAUCAGCUAGUUGGUGAGGUAAUGGCUCACCAAGGCGACGACGGGUAGGGGACCUGAGAGGGUGGCCCCCCACAAUGGAACUGAAACACGGUCCAUACACCUACGGGUGGCAGCAGUAGGGAAUAUUGCUCAAUGGGCGAAAGCCUGAAGCAGCAACGCCGCGUGUGCGAUGAAGGCCUUCGGGUCGUAAAGCACUUUUCUGCGAGAUGAGAAAGGACAGUAUCGUAGGAAUAAGUCUCGGCUAACUACGUGCCAGCAGCCGCGGUAAAACGUAGGAUGCAAGCGUUAUCCGGAUUCACUGGGCGUAAAGCGCGUGCAGGUGGUUCGGUAAGUUGGGCGUGAAAUCUCCCGGCUCAACUGGGAGAGGUCGUUCAAUACUACCGAACUUGAGAGCAGAAGAGGAAGAUGGAAUUCCCGGUGUAGUGGUGAAAUGCGUAGAUAUCGGGAGGAACACCAGUGGCGAAGGCGAUCUUCUGGUCUGUUUCUGACACUCAUACGCGACAGCUAGGGUAGUAAACGGGAUUAGAGACCCCGGUAAUCCUAGCCGUAAACGAUGUGAACUUGGCGUUGGUGGGUUAAACUCCAUCAGUGCCGCAGCAAACGCGAUAAGUUCACCGCCUGGGGACUACGGCCGCAAGGUUAAAACUCAAAU
rnacentral:rRNA from 1 species